ACUGAGCGGCGGACGGGUGGGUAACGCGUGGGUAACCUGCCUCAUACAGGGGGAUAACAGUUGGAAACGGCUGCUAAUACCGCAUAAGCGCACAGUACCGCAUGGUACGGUGUGAAAAACUCCGGUGGUAUGAGAUGGACCCGCGUCUGAUUAGGUAGUUGGUGGGGUAACGGCCUACCAAGCCGACGAUCAGUAGCCGACCUGAGAGGGUGACCGGCCACAUUGGGACUGAGACACGGCCCAA
rnacentral:rRNA from 1 species